rnacentral:ncRNA from 1 species
GAGAGCCGACCUACGGAGAAAUCCGUACGGGCGGUUCGGGAAGGAGAGGUUGGAAACGGCCUUCUGGGUAUCCUAAUAGAUUAAACGCGCCAACCUCUUACUUUCAC